rnacentral:rRNA from 1 species
CCCGACCGCUAUCGGGGUAGGGCUAAGCCAUGCGAGUCGCGCGCCCGGGGGCGCCCGGGAGCGGCGCACGGCUCAGUAACACGUGCCUAACCUACCCUCGGGAGGGGGACACCCCCGGGAAACUGGGGUCAAUCCCCCAUAGGGGAAGGGCGCUGGAAGGCCCCUUCCCCGAAAGGGACGGCGGCCGAUCCGCCGCCGCCCGCCCGAGGAUGGGGGCACGGCCCAUCAGGUAGUUGGCGGGUUAAAGGCCCGCCAAGCCGAAGACGGGUAGGGGCGGUGAGAGCCGUGAGCCCCGAGAUCGGCACUGAGACAAGGGCCGAGGCCCUACGGGGUGCAGCAGGCGCGAAUACUCCGCAAUGCGGGCAACCGCGACGGGGCUACCCCGAGUGCCGGGCGAAGAGCCCGGCUUUUGCCCGGUCUAAAAAGCCGGGAGAAUAAGCGGGGGGCAAGUCUGGUGUCAGCCGCCGCGGUAAUACCAGCUCCGCGAGUGGUCGGGGUGUUUACUGGGCUUAAAGCGCCCGUAGCCGGCCCGGCAAGUCGCUCCUGAAAUCCCAGGGCUCAACCCUGGGGCGGGGCGCGAUACUGCCGGGCUAGGGGCCGGGACACCGCCGGUACUCCGGGGGGUAAGGGCCAAAUCCGUUAAUCCCCUGAGGACCACCAGUGGCGAAAGCGGGCCCGCCGAACGCGCCCGACGGUGAGGGGCGAAAGCCGGGGAGCAAAGGGGAUUAGAUAUCCUGUAGUCCCGGCCGUAAACGAUGCGGGCUGCUGUCGGCUGGGUUAGGGCCCCGCCGGUGGCGAAGGGAAACCGUUAAGCCCGCCGCCUGGGGAGUACGGCCGCACGGCUGAAACUUAAAGGAAUUGGCGGGGGGGCACCACAAGGGGUGAAGCUUGCGGCUUAAUUGGAGUCAACGCCGGAAACCUCACCCGGGGCGACAGCAGGAUGAAGGCCAGGCUAACGACCUUGCCGGACGAGCUGAGAGGAGGUGCRUGGCCGUCGUCAGCUCGUGCCGUGAGGUGUCCGGUUAAGUCCGGCAACGAGCGAGACCCCCGCCCCUAGUUGCUACCCGGCCCUUCGGGGCCGGGGGCACACUAGGGGGACUGCCGGCGUAAGCCGGAGGAAGGAGGGGGCCACGGCAGGUCAGUAUGCCCCGAAACCCCGGGGCUGCACGCGAGCUGCAAUGGCGGGGACAGCGGGAUCCGACCCCGAAAGGGGGAGGCAAUCCCGUAAACCCCGCCCCAGUAGGGAUCGAGGGCUGCAACUCGCCCUCGUGAACGUGGAAUCCCUAGUAACCGCGUGUCACCAACGCGCGGUGAAUACGUCCCUGCCCCUU